CAGAAGUAUUUUCCUAAUCCUCUCUCCUCCUGACCGCCCUCCCCCACCAUCCCCGCCCUGCAUGUGGGUCUCACUUCCAGAGGCAGCUGCCUCAUGUUCAGCUCCUGACACCUUCAGAAACUUUGCUAAUAAAUGCAGAUCUGGAAAGCAUUCGGCCCAGGGGGACCAAUUUCUUUUUCCAUCACCUGUGGCUUCUCAACGUGAAAUUAAAAGUCAGCAGCAAGUAAUUGCAGCUGGCGGCAGCUCCCAGAGUUCAGCGGCUGCCAGGGGACCUGGUCUGUGCCGCCUGCCCUCUGUCCCUCCCACUUCCCAUCCUGAGAUUGAGCAAACUACGCGACUUGGCUUUUUCACAAAAAUGAGACCGACGGUACUGUCAGCAAGAGGCUAGAGAUCUGAAUCUCACUGGUCUGAAGUCCAGCCUGGGUAUCAGGCUUUUCAACCGCCUGCCAGCUGAGGACCUGCCUCCUGAAGCGCUUGAUCGACGUCACUGUCUGGCACUGGAGGGUCACUUCAGCAAUUGUCACUGCAUCUCUGACUGCCCCAUCAUCUCAGGGCUAUCCUGAGACCAUGUGCAGACUGGCCGUUGUAAGCACUGGAACAGAGCACGAGGCCAGAGCAGCCUGGGCGGUGGGGCUGAGUGAGAGGGCGCCGGGAAACCGGGAUCCUUUGAACUGCAGGCUCUGUCAUCCUCAGCGUCACCGGACGGCCACCAGCGGCCAGACGUCGCUUCUGCAUUCAGGCAGGAAGAGCAGGAAGCGGCCAGGAGACAGGGCGGCGACUGCGUCUGGAAGCAGCCCUUCCCCGGCAGGCCAGACCCCUGCCUCGCGCACCUCACUGGUGAACCCGAUCACGCGCGGGGCCCCAGUGCGGGGCGGCGGGGGCGCGGGGCCAAGGCGGACGGGGAGGAGGCCCGGCUGCUCACUGACCCUGCCGGCUGCGCCUCUCCGCGGCCGCUCACUGCACAGUGGGGUCGCUCAGACCCUCAAGGGCACAACGGGGCUCCCUGUUCCUCCCCAUCUGGUGACACGGCUCCCUAGAGCCUAGGGCACCUCCCGAGGGACAACCCCCUGGUGCUUCUGUGAUCCAGUGAGGACGUGAGGCGGGAACAGCGUGAGGGUGAAAGGUCUGGUCUCAGGGAACCCUGACGCGCUCUCUUCCCUCCACCCGGUCUGCUACCGUCUCUCAGUUCGCUGCUCAGGUGGGACGUGCAUUCUCACCCUCCUUACCUCCACUGCCUCUGCCGGCCCUGGGGUCUCCCUCUCCGGGUCGGGGCGCUGGGGUCUCCCUCUCUGGGUCUGGGGUCUCCUCUCCGGGUCCAGGUGCUGGGGUCCCUCUCUGGGUCCGGGCUCUGGGGUCUCCUCCUCCGGUCCAGGCGCUAGGGUCCCUCUCAGGGUCUGGGGUCUGGGGUCUCCCUCUCCGGGUGCUGGGGUUUCCCUCUCCGGGUCCGGGCUCUGGGGUCUCCCUCUCCGGGUCCGGGCUCUGAGGUCUCCCUCUCUGGGUCCAGGCGCUGGGGUCCCGCUGGGCUGCUGUCUCGUCCUCACAGCCUCUGCCCUGCACCGCGGGUCUCCACGUGGAGGCUGUGGCCGGGGCACUGGGCAAACCUUAACAGCCCUUGAAAUGCUACCUAAUCAACAUGCUUUCUCCCCGCCUUUUGAAAACAAAAACGGAGCGAUUAUGGACAGGUGGGAAGA